AAGUCGUAACAAGGUUUCCGUAGGUGAACCUGCGGAAGGAUCAUUACCGAGUUAGGGUUGCCCUUCAGGGUGCCCGACCUCCCAACCCUUUGUCUAUGUUACCUUUAGUUGCUUCGGUGGGCCGGUCGACCUUCGACCGCCGGUCUUUCUGGACUGGAGAGCUCGCCUGCCGAUGGCCUCAACAUAAACUCUUAGUAUUAAACCUGUCGUCUAAAUACUUGAUAUAUAAAUCAAAACAAAACUUUCAACAACGGAUCUCUUGGUUCUGGCAUCGAUGAAGAACGCAGCAAAAUGCGAUAAGUAAUGCGAAUUGCAGAAUUUCCGUGAGUCAUCGAAUCUUUGAACGCACAUUGCGCCCAUUGGUAUUCCGAUGGGCAUGCCUGUUCGAGCGUCAUUAUCCUCUCUCAAACCUCGGGUUUGGUGUUGGACCGGUGUUGUUCGGGUGACUGAACAACUGGUCUCAAAGACAAUGACGGCGUCCGUGGGACCCUCUUCGCAACGAGCUUCUCGAAGCACGCGUCGAGUAUCAAGGACCUUCCGGGCCGGUCUACCUUUUAUAUUUUCUUAGGUUGACCUCGGAUCAGGUAGGAAUACCCGCUGAACUUAA
rnacentral:rRNA from 1 species